CGCGAGCUGGGUUUAGAACGUCGUGAGACAGUUCGGUCCCUAUCUACCGUGGGCGCUGGAAAUUUGAGAGGAUCUGCUCCUAGUACGAGAGGACCAGAGUGGACGAACCUCUGGUGUACCGGUUGUGACGCCAGUCGCAUCGCCGGGUAGCUAUGUUCGGAAGGGAUAACCGCUGAAAGCAUCUAAGCGGGAAGCCUACCUCAAGAUAAGAUUUCCCUAGGACUUUAUGUCCUCUAAAGAGCCGUUCGAGACUAGGACGUUGAUAGGUUGGAUGUGGAAGCAUAGUGAUAUGUGAAGCUGACCAAUACUAAUUGCUCGUGAGGCUUGACUAUACAACACCCAAGCAGUUG
rnacentral:rRNA from 1 species